CCCUACAUCAUUUUUGUUGUUGGUGUGGAGGAGGGGGACCCUAUUUCGUUACAAGGUUUAUUGAUUGCAUGCUUCCUUGUCCUGGAAGACCUCCUCAGUUUCGUUGAGCCGACAAACCUUAUGAGGGUCUGAAGAACAACCAUGUAGUAAGAAAGUUGGAGAAGCGUCAACAGAUUUGCACCCUUGACCAACAUAUUGAAGAGCAAUUUGGUGGUGGUUGUUUGUUGGCUUGUAUUAUAGCAUGGGUUCGUCCGAGUGCUUAACGGUGUUUAUCAUGUUUGCAUCUCAUGCCUUAACUGCCUCAGUUCUCUCGGGCAGCUAUCAGAUUGUUUGAAAAUAAUUGUCCACUUUUAAUUUGUUGAAGACUCACCUUGUUAUAUGUUCAUUGCCUUACAUGGCACAUAAACUAUUUCCAUUUUGAAGUUGAACUAAUUUGUACACCUUCAUAUAUAAACAUAGUUGCUCUUUAUGGACGUAUAACAAUUUACUUGUUUGAAA